UUUCAUAUGUGGGAGCCACUAGGCCUCCUCUUUUCAAGGGCUAAGAGAAAUUUAAAUCUCUCCCGAUUACUGACCCUGAAAACCACACUGCGUUUCUGGCAGAUGAUGUUAAAAAAGUGUGGUGGAACUCCCUCUGGUACAAUUGAGUGCAGACCCUUGUCUUAAGGAAAUACCAUUUGUCAGGGGUGGGAGAGAAAUAUGGAUCUCUGUUUCUAUUUAGAAAUCAUGGCAACAAGUAGAACAUUUUCUGUCCACAUCCAGAGGGAGAAGCCACAGGAGGAAAUACCUUGAAGCUUGUGGGACGUGCCUGGUGAGGAUAUUCCGUUCAAUGACACAUCUGUCAUCUUUACAUGUUGACCAGCCAACAAGAACUUGCUGAGUACAGGACGGACAAGGUUGGCAUUCCGCUGGCUCUACAGGGGAUCAACGGGAAGGAUGGAGAGAACAGCUUGUGUGCCAGGUGGGGAGACGGACAUGGACCAAUACUGAAUAACCUACAACACAAUGGUUUAGAAAGAGAAUUCAAGGUAUGUGGACUGGACUUAAGCCAUGGCUAAGCUCACAAAAGACUUCCUGGAAGAAGAUGUACAGCCUAUGGUGAGGCACAACCUCCCUGUCUGUACUGCGAGUUCUUGGGUCAAGACACAACUCACCUCUACCUAUCUGUACACUGACAGCAAAGUCCUUUUAAUAUCAAACAGAAAUGAAUGACAAUGAUGGUGACCACAUUUCCCAAACCCACGAACGGUCAGGUUUCUGUGGCGCCUCUCCAUUUGAGAGGCUCUCUGAAAGCCAGUCGUGGAUAGCAUGCUUCCAUGUGUAUGUAAAUAACAAGACAUAUGGAACAUGUUAAAUCGGAAGACUGUUCCAUAUCCAGAAUUACUAAUGUACUAAUAAUCCUUUGAAUCCUCAAAAAAAACAAAAAACACUAUACUUUUAUGCCAAAGUAGAUGGAAUGGGUGACUAGAGAUAAAGCUGAAGAAAUUUCAGAUUUAAAAUCUGACUGGCCCAUUCACCAGCAGACUUAGGAAAGUGCUAACUGCGAAGCUGGCCAGUAUUCAGCUCGACAGUCCUAAAAACAAACGGAACCCUUUGGAGCUGGAAAGUGGUAUCAUAAAAGCCGCCGAAUGCGGUGCUUCUAGAGCGGCCCACCAGGAAAAUAUGACAGUUUACAUCUUUACGUAGCCUAAUGUACAGUGGGAAUAUAAAUAUCUCGUUCAGGCCCCAGUCACUGCCUGGAAUGGGAUGCUUUCCUUAACAAGAAGCAGAUGAGAGGCCCAGAAGCCAAACCUCUUAUUCUGUUGGUCUGAAGGCUGUAGUUUUCAGUCGGUCAGCACAGAGAGUGGCAAUUCAGGGAGGGAAGGCACUGCAUGUGUUUCCUUGGUCAGGACAAAAGCUUGUAGCUCUUUUCCUGGGCCCCCUGAGGCUCUCGUACGUUGAGUGUCCCGCAUGUGGUCAGCGGCUUUACCCACCUUUCCUUGGGCCACCAGCUCCCUCUGGGCUGCUGAGGCCGAUUUGACCAGGGCGCUUGUGGCAGCAGCAAUGGAUUUAGCAGCUUCCAAGAUCUGUUCCUCAAAGUCCAGGGUCUCAUCCGCUUGCUAUAACCAAAAGAAAACAGCAUCACAUUCAAUUCAUAUCCACAAAGGGCUCUUUCUUCCAAACUACUUACUGCCGGGUCACCUGGCUCUUCACCUGCCUAUUGUUUUUUGUUGACAAACCACACCUGAAAUGGGAUGGUUCCUUAACAAGAAGCAGAUGACAGGUCCCCUGUGCAAACUUUCAGGACUCUUAAGUCAGUUUGGUUAAGCCACCCUCGGGUCACAGUGUGGAAGAUGUGGCUGGUACCUUUCAGGCAUUAAGAGACAAUGGCCAGGCACAGCAAUAGUUUUCUUUGUAUGUGUGGUACAAUAUAUAUAACACAAAAUUUACCCUUUUACCUAAUGUUAAGUAUUAAUACACUGACACUGUUGUACAACAGCAAUACCAGGAUAGAAAGGUCAGGAUGCCUCUCCACCUGCAGCCCCUUCCCCCUAACUCCAAAAGGAAAAAGCCGUUAGCUUGACAUCCCACGGAAAUUUGCAGACAGACUCAUUUUCUGGAACAAAAUCUUUAAAGAUAUACACUCACUGUGAACAAAAUACACUCAAAUGGUUUUAGCAACAUCAAUAACUGAAACCAAAAUAAUAAAAUCAAAACAGUAGAUCAUAGCACUUACUCUCUUCUAGAGCCUAAGCCUCAAAAAUGGACUUUAAAAAAAAAAAAAGGAAAGAUGGCUACCAGUUCUGAAAAGUUGUCUUUUUCCUGGGUAAAAAUCAAAGCCAAACAGCACUGGCAUUUCUGUGGCUGAGCACUGAGAGAGUUAUAGACCAAGCACACAUUGCCCAGUGGUGAAAAAGAAACCAGGGCAACACGACAUCAAGGUGGAGCUUGUUCUGUCCUCUGGACACCCGAGGCACGGGAUCCACCUUGGGAAGAACACUGGACACCACUGUGUAGGUGUUAUCAGACCAUUAGGGUUCUGGUCUAAAUUCACCACCAUCUCCUUUGCUGCUAAAACAACUCAGGAAGUUGAAAAGAAGCUUUGGAGAAGUGGAACAAGUAUAAAGACUGUGGUCCCAGGCUCAUGGGUUGGAGCAUCACAGUUUUGCCGGGGGGUGGUCAGAUUAGACCUGUGUGACAACAUUCCGUGACUCUAGGUCAAUUUGGUUAAGCUGCCCUCAGGUCACACAGUGUUGAAGAUGUGGGUGGUACCUUUCAGGCAUUGAGAGAUGAUGGCCAGGCCCAGCAAUACUUUUCUCUGUAUGUGUGGUAAAAUAUAUGUAACACAAAACUUACCCUUUUAUCCAAUUUUAAGUGUACAAUUCAGUGGCAUUACGGACAUUCACACUUUGUGCCAACAGUAGUAGAUUUUUAAGAGUGCCUACUGUGUACCAAGUAUUUUGUUAGGCACUUCUACAUACAAUGACUUAAUUCUCACC
rnacentral:lncRNA from 1 species